GUCCCUGUGAAGAGACCCACUAAAAUUGGAACAGAACAGAGAAGAUUAGCAUAGCCCAUGCACAAAGAUGACAUGCACAAUAGAAAAAUAGUCCAAAUCUUG
rnacentral:snRNA from 1 species